GUGAAUCAUCGAAUUUUUGAACGCAAAUUGCACUCUCUUCGGAGAGUAUGCCUGUUUGAGGGUCAGCCUAAAAAAAAAUCGAAAUAGUAGCUGUUUUGGGGUGAGAUUAGUGGGAAAUUGGGCCAUUUUAAACCUUUGGGUUUUAAGGGAUUUAAAAUUUCUUUUACGAUCCAACGAACGUUUUUAAGAUUUAUUUUUUACAUGUUUAAGGUAAUCGAUUUUUAUUAGAUGUGGCAGUUGCAUCGGACCGCGUCAAUAAAUAUUUUGUUAACUGAGCUCAUAAAGGC
rnacentral:misc_RNA from 1 species